rnacentral:rRNA from 1 species
AAUACUUAGGAAUCUGCCUAUUAGUGGGGGACAACAUUUCGAAAGGAAUGCUAAUACCGCAUACGUCCUACGGGAGAAAGUGGGGGAUCUUCGGACCUCACGCUAUCUGAUGAGCCUAGGUCGGAUUAGCUAGUUGGUGGGGUAAUGGCUCACCAAGGCGACGAUCCGUAACUGGUCUGAGAGGAUGAUCAGUCACACUGGAACUGAGACACGGUCCAGACUCCUACGGGAGGCAGCAGUGGGGAAUAUUGGACAAUGGGCGAAAGCCUGAUCCAGCCAUGCCGCGUGUGUGAAGAAGGUCUUCGGAUUGUAAAGCACUUUAAGUUGGGAGGAAGGGCAGUCAGUUAAUACCUGGUUGUUUUGACGUUACCAACAGAAUAAGCACCGGCUAACUUCGUGCCAGCAGCCGCGGUAAUACGAAGGGUGCAAGCGUUAAUCGGAAUUACUGGGCGUAAAGCGCGCGUAGGUGGUUCAGCAAGUUGGAGGUGAAAUCCCCGGGCUCAACCUGGGAACUGCCUCCAAAACUACUGAGCUAGAGUACGGUAGAGGGUGGUGGAAUUUCCUGUGUAGCGGUGAAAUGCGUAGAUAUAGGAAGG